rnacentral:rRNA from 1 species
UACGUAGGGGGGCAAGCGUUGUCCGGAUUUAUUGGGCGUAAAGAGCGUGUAGGCGGCUUGGUAGGUCCGCUGUGAAAACUCGAGGCUCAACCUCGAGACGUCGGUUGAAACCAUCUGGCUAGAGUCCGGAAGAGGAGAGUGGAAUUCCCGGUGUAGCGGUGAAAUGCGCAGAUAUCGGGAAGAACACCCGUGGCGAAGGCGGCUCUCUGGGACGGUACUGACGCUGAGACGCGAAAGCGUGGGGAGCGAACAGG